AGAGUUUGAUCAUGGCUCAGGAUGAAUGCUGACAGAAUGCUUAACACAUGCAAGUCUACUUGAUCCUUCGGGUGAAGGUGGCGGACGGGUGAGUAACGCGUAAAGAACUUGCCUUACAGACUGGGACAACAUUUGGAAACGAAUGCUAAUACCGGAUAUUAUGACUGAGUCGCAUGAUUUGGUUAUGAAAGCUAUAUGCGCUGUGAGAGAGCUUUUUUGCGUCCCAUUAGUUAGUUGGUGAGGUAACGGCUCACCAAGACGAUGAUGGGUAGCCGGCCUGAGAGGGUGAACGGCCACAAGGGGACUGAGACACGGCCCUUACUCCUACGGGAGGCAGCAGUGGGGAAUAUUGGACAAUGGACCAAAAGUCUGAUCCAGCAAUUCUGUGUGCACGAUGAAGUUUUUCGGAAUGUAAAGUGCUUUCACUUGGGAAGA
rnacentral:rRNA from 1 species